CAUUUGGAAUGAUCUGGAAAGAAUGGUUCGGAAUGAGAGGGGUCAGCAGAGUAGCUGCGAACACAGAGAACACAGCCCAAUGACAGCUGGAAUUCCCGGAGUUCCCAAGGUUCCAAGAAGAAAAAGAAAAACACACGAACCACCCAAGGCCUCUGAGGGUCACUGGCUUGCCCCCUGCUGAUCUGCAAAGCCUCCUAUCAUGUGUCAUCUGACAGGACGGUGGCCUCUGAUCUCCUGGAAGCGUGCCUUCCAUCAGGUGGUGGAAGUCCACCAGGGCAGGAGGAGUCGGUAUUUGCUGAUGGAAAAUAGGAAGCUGCUGAUGGCCCGAGGUGGACUUCAGUGAAGAGAAACCCUGGUAUGUCCUUGGAUGUCACCCUAGGACUGGCACUCACCACCCAGGAAACGAAGUACGUUCGCCUUAGCCACGAGACUCGUGGUAGCCCUGGAAGGCAGCUCCACCUACCUCUUCACAGAUGAGGAAAUCAGGGGCAGAAGCCACCUGGAGAGAGUAGGGGUGCUCUUGGACCUCAUAUCCACGCAGCGAUCUGUACUUAUCUGGUACAGAGGCCAACUGCUGGCUUGACACCUCAGGUUCUGGCAGACGUAGGAGCCUGGCGCUCUGGACCGUCCCGUCCCCAAGACUCUUGGGGUUGGCAUCAGACAAUUCAAAAGCCAUGGCAAGAAGGAGAGACGGGUACAAGGAGGGAGAGUGUGGAAGUGAUACGAGGUGGGCAAGGCGGGCAGGGGCCUCUGUCCAGGAAGGGCCUUGUAGCUGAGGGGGCGAGGGGACAGGUAUGGAGGGCUGGCAUUUGUCCUGAGGUCUGUGGGAAGCUGGCCAUGGAUGGUCUUUCGCCCGGCUGCAAUCCCAUGAGCAACACAUGAGAGCUAUGUCACUUGUUAGCCAAGCAGUGGUGGUGGGUAACGCUAUAAACUCACUGGAGGUCUGCGGGAUCCAGAACCUUCUACUUGGAAACUGCUGCUUCACAGACACUCUACCCUUCUUGAUAAUUAACCUGUCUCCAAACCUAAGUUUACAGGCUCCCUUUGCUCACUGUGGGUCAGAUGUCUAUCUUUGUCUUGGAAGGACAAAGCAGAGUUACAAUAACUCUGCUCUUGGCCCCUCUCCCCUCCCCGGGCACAGACACUCUCCUUGUGGAUACAUGUGACUGCGUCCCCAGUGGGCUAUAUCUUGGGGCACUGGGUCAUGGGUGCCUUUUAUCCAAACCAGAGCACAGGCUUACAGAGUGACCCACUGUAUACUUCAGGAGUCUCCAUGCAGAGUCGAGAUUCAACUUCCAAAGGCUAUUUGUUCUGGCCUGGACCAGAGCUAGGACCAUGAGCUACAUGGCUGUGAGUGGGCAAGGGUCAGGAGAGUAGAGAUAAAGGCACAGUGUGUUAGUCUCAAAUGCAGGUGUGGCAGCUCACGCCAUGGGCCCCAGCACUUGGCAAACAGUGGAAGGUGGAUUUCUGUGAGUCUGAGACCAACCUGGUCCAUACGCAAGUUCCAGGACAGCCAGGGCUACAUAAAGGAAGAGACCCAGUUUCAAAACAAACAAAAUAUGCUUGCUUUGUUUUCGAGAGCAUGUGGUCAGAUUCAAUCUAAAAAUAUUAAAUGGGUGUCGCACACAUUUCGAGUAACGUUUACUACAGUAUGUUCUACUGCAAUGUAUUACAGUUAUUCGACUUGAUUGUGCCCUCCUAUUAUGCCUGCUAUGAAAAUUAAACUUCAUUCUGGAUCUGAACGAAUAGGAAAAA